ACCUGACAACGCAUUUGAAGACAAAUCCAAGUAUUCUAAGCUUAUCAAGUUGGCAAAGGAUAAUGGAAUUUUUCCAAAAAAUGAAUUGUUCGACAGGUCAAGAGACUGCAGGUUUUGGAGUUCCCCCAAUCUGGUCGGUAUCACACCUGAAAGGUGGUUACUGUAAAGAUAUAGUUUGAUAAUGGCUUUCAGUCCUCCAAUAUCUGAUGGAAGUUCUCCCUCUAUUGAAUUUUGUGACACACUUAGAUAGAGAAGACCACUCAUCUUCCAAAGGCUCAAAGGAAAUUUUGAUGAAAAUUUAUUAGAACCCAAAAAAAGGUGUUGUAGCAUGCUAAGAUUUCCAAAGCAUUCUGGAAUUAAACCAGAG